GUUCUAUAAAGGAGAAUAGGGUAAAUAAACUGUAUUAAUUACAACGUUUAAUCACACUGCUGGUUUUACUUUAUAGACAACUCUACAUGUCCAGCUAUAGCACCCACAGCUGAAUAUCUGACUGAUAUCGAAAUUGACACAGUAGAUAUAACAGUCUUGAAACUCCUGAGGAACCUUUUGGAGACACUCAGCUUACCCUUAAUAAAUAGUAACAUCAAUAUCACUGAAAUACACAUCACUACAGGUAACUGACUUUUCUCUGUCUGCUGAAACUCAGUCAAACCCUGUUACUGUUUUAGACCUGUGUUAUACGAGUUAUAGCAUUAAAGAUUGUCUUUAUCCACUGUAACCAAUAUGUAGUGACAAUAGUUUACAAUAUUUACCCCCAAAAAAACAUUGUCGUGAUUUUCUUUUCCACAGUGUGCAGUUUGAAUGGUACUGAAUAUCAGUGCAGGUGUGAGGAUCAGUAUUUCUGGCCAUGUGAAAAGUGCACAGUAUAUGGGUCUUGUGAUGGACUCACCAAUGCCUCGUGUGCCUGCAUCAACGCUCUUCCAUAUGAUGGACACUUCUGCCAACCAAUCAGUGAGCUGUCUAGUAUGUAUGAUAUGCAACAUGAAAAAAAGGAUAUCUGAUGAAUGGCCUUUCAAUACUUCAUCAGUAUACAUCGGUCACUGUUAGUCCUUUUUUGAACAAUGACUGUCUUAUCGGUAAUUUUUUAAACACCUGUUCAAAUAUAUAAUAAAAACUGACCGAAUGUAAAAUUAAGCCAACAGAAUAAGAAUUGGUACAAAGAGUUGUACAUAUUUAACUUUUUAUACCACUCAACUUGUCUGAAGCUAUCAUACUCAAUACACAAUUAAGUUAGAGUACGUUAAUAAAUUGUAUUUAUUAGUCCUUUGUAAUCAUGCUGUUAUUUGUACUUUAUAGCUAACUCUGCAUGUCCUGAUGUAACACCGACAGCUGAAUAUCUGUUCGAGAUUGAGACUGACACAGUAGAUAUGAAAAUGUUGGAACUACUGAGGAACCUUUUGGAGACAUUCAGUUUACCCUUAAUAAAUAUUAACAUCAAUAUCACUGAAAUACACAUCACUACAGGUAACUGACUUUACUCUGUCUACCGAAACUCAUUCAAACCGUGUUACUGUUUUAGACCUUUGUUAUAGGAGUUAUAGCAUUAAAGAUUGUCUUGAUC